rnacentral:precursor_RNA from 7 species
CAAAAGAGCCAUUCCGAGCUGGGCCUUCUUUCUGGUCCCCUGCUUCGUCCUCUGUCCAGAUGUUAAGAGGAUGACGGUGGGGCUGGUGAGAUGGCUCAGCGGUUAAGAGCGCCGAUUGC